rnacentral:rRNA from 1 species
AUUGAACGCUGGCGGCAUGCUUUACACAUGCAAGUCGAACGGUAACAGGGUGCUUGCACCGCUGACGAGUGGCGAACGGGUGAGUAAUGCGUCGGAACGUGCCGAGUAGUGGGGGAUAACGCAGCGAAAGUUGUGCUAAUACCGCAUACGUACUGAGGUAGAAAGUGGGGGACCUUCGGGCCUCACGCUAUUCGAGCGGCCGACGUCUGAUUAGCUAGUAGGUGAGGUAAAGGCUCACCUAGGCGACGAUCAGUAGCGGGUAUGAGAGGAUGAUCCGCCAAACUGGGACUGAGACACGGCCCAGACUCCUACGGGAGGCAGCAGUGGGGAAUUUUGGACAAUGGGCGGAAGCCUGAUCCAGCCAUGCCGCGUGUCUGAAGAAGGCCUUCGGGUUGUAAAGGACUUUUGUCGGGGAGGAAAUCCCCAGCGUUAAUACCGCUGGGGGAUGUCAGUACCUGAAGAAUAAGCACCGGCUAACUACGUGCCAGCCGCCGCCGUAA